AUUGAACGCUAGCGGGAUGCUUUACACAUGCAAGUCGAACGAGCGGCGGACGGGUGGGUAAUGUAUGGGGACUGCCCGAUAGAGGGGGAUAACUACUGGAAACGGUAGCUAAUACCGCAUACUAUCGGAUAACCCAUAUGGGAUUAGCUAGUAGGUGAGGUAAUGGCUCACCUAGGCGACGAUCCCUAGCUGGUUUGAGAGGACGACCAGCCACACUGGGACGGAGACACGGCCCAGACUCCUACGGAGGCAGCAGUGGGGAAUUUGGGACAAUGGGGGAAACCCUGAUCCAGCCAUCCCGCGUGUAUGAUGAAGGCCUUCGGGUUGUAAAGUACUUUUGGCAGAGAAGCGGUAUCUGCAGAAUAAGCACCGGCUAACUACGUGCCAGCAGCCGCGGUAAUAC
rnacentral:rRNA from 1 species